CGUCAAAUAAACGGCAGUGCGUAGAUAUAAAGUUGCUUUUGACAUAAAUGAAAACGUAACAUUUUGUCACAUUCACGAGGUUGUGGAUAAUAACAUGUUCAACUACUUCAUACAUUGACUCGAAUCUAGUUUGUGCUUUUAGAUUUAGAGAAAAUGAACAACUACUGAAGAAGUUUUCAAUUCUCUCAUUGACUUCUGAAACCCCAAACCCAGGCCUGGUCCGUUUGAUCCGUUUCUCUUGCGUUCCCGGAAAACCCGUGAUGCUGCGCCUCUGUAGAAACUGUGUGGACAGACCGUCGCUAGCUUACAGUUGAUGAACGAAUUUAGCUACAAUGGGUUUGCCAGCUAGGUGUUGCUGACCUCCUAUGGAAGUGGACCUCCUCCCUCCAGAAGCACCAUGCGUGGGUAUCACUCCAAGCUGGACUCGUCCUCCUCUGCUGGUGGUACGAUCGGCUCCAUGCCCCUGAGCCUGGCCGUGGAGACAGAGAAAGCCCAAGCUUUGCUCCAAACCUUCUCCUCUGCCUCUCUACUGGCCAGCACGGCGCUGGGGGCCUUCUGUGUGCUGUCUGACCACGUCAUGCAGCUGACCCUACUCCAACAGCACCUGUGGCUACGGGCUGUGCUGGACAACACCGCCCAUGGUCUGAUAGGCCUCUGGUCCUGGGCGAUCGUCAUUGGCCUCAAGAAGAAGAGUGACUUCUAUGAAGUUAUCUUAGCAGGGAUACUGGCCUCUGUUAUAGACCUGGACCACUUCUAUAUGGCUGGCUCUCUGUCGCUCAAAGCAGCCACCAGCCUGCCCCACCGCCCCCCCCUCCACUGCUCCUCUCUAAUCCCUGUCCUCUGCUUCUCUCUGAGGCUGGUGCUGUGGCUGGGCAGGCUAAAGGACUCGUGGUGCUCUCUACCCUGGCUGUUGUUUAUCUCCCUGGCCUCACACCACAUCCGAGACGGGGUCCGCCACGGCCUGUGGGUGUGUCCGUUCGGCAACACGGCCCCCAUCUCCUAUUGGCUGUAUGUGAGCAUCACAGCCACCCUGCCACACCUGUGCUCUGUGCUCAUGUACCUGACAGGAACUAGAGACGUGAUCUCUACCAAGCACGGCAUCGCCAUCGACAUCUGAUGGAAGGGCCAACACCACGCCUCCCUAAUAGCACCCUAUUCCCUAUAUAGUGCACUACUUCAGACCAGAGCCCUAUUCCCUAUAUAGUGCACUACUUCAGACCAGAGCCCUAUUCCCUAUAUAGUGCACUACUUCAGACCAGAGCCCUAUUCCCUAUAUAGUGCACUACUUCAGACCAGAGCCCUAUUCCCUAAAUAGUGCACUACUAUAGACCAGAGCCCUGAUCACCUAUAUAGUGCACUACUAUAGGCCAGAGCCCUAUUCCCUAUGUAGUGCACUACUGUUGACCAGAGCCCUAUUCCCCAAAUAUGUAUCUGGUCUAUAUGUAUCUGGUCUAUAGUAGUGCACUAUAUAGGGCUCUGGUCUAAAGUAGUGCACUAUAUAGGGUUCUAUAGGGCUCUGGUCUAAAGUAGUGCACUAUAUAGGGUUCUAUAGGGCUCUGGUCUAAAGUAGUGCACUAUAUAGGGAAUAGGGUUCUAUAGGGCUCUGGUCUAAAGUAGUGCACUAUAUAGGGAAUAGGGUUCCAUAGGGCUCUGGUCUAAAGUAGUGCACUAUAUAGGGAAUAGGGUUCUAUAGGGCUCUGGUCUAAAGUAGUGCACAAUAUAGGGAAUAGGGUUCCAUAGGACUCUGGUCUAAAGUAGUGCACUAUAUAGGGAAUAGGGUUCCAUAGGGCUCUGGUCUAAAGUAGUGCACUAUAUAGGGAAUAGGGUUCCAUAGGGCUCUGGUCUAAAGUAGUGCACUAUAAAGGGAAUAGGGUUCAAUUUGGGACACUCAUAAAUCCCACAAUGCCUCAGCCUCACUCAUCUAUUUUCUUCACACCACGGGAGCGGUCACUUCCUCCUCCUCCCCACUAAACUGCCUCCUCUCCUCCCUCCUCUAGUCCGUCACUGUCAGGCUGGGAGGCUGUGUCCUGUGUGACUGUCAGUGCAGUAGUGUGUGGAAGUGCUUGAGGUAUUUUAUAGCCUUGUAAUUAGCAAACUGAUUACUGCUGUGCUGUCAGUGUAGCUAAGCAGAAUGUAAGCUUGCAGGAGCCGGGUGGUUGUACGAGGGUAUUUUACUGAUGGGUCGACAAAGGUAAAGGCUACAUUCCAAUUCUUUACUCUUCUCCUGAAGUGUCCACUUGGAUGGAAUGGACUGGAAGGUCCUAGGAAAGAGAGCAGUACAUUAUGGAGGUCCUAGAGAACAGAGCAGUACAUUAUGAAGCUGAAGGUCCUAGGGAACAGAGCAGUACAUUAUGGAGGUCCUAGGGAACAGAGCAGUACAUUAUGGAGGUCCUAGAGAACAGAGCAGUACAUUAUGAAGCUGAAGGUCCUAGGGAACAGAGCAGUACAUUAUGAAGGUCCUAGGGAACAGAGCAGUACAUUAUGGAGGUCCUAGAGAACAGAGCAGUACAUUAUGGAGGUCCUAGAGAACAGAGCAGUACAUUAUGGAGGUCCUAGAGAACAGAGCAGUACAUUAUGGAGGUCCUAGAGAACAGAGCAGUACAUUAUGAAGGUCCUAGAGAACAGAGCAGUACAUUAUGGAGGUCCUAGAGAACAGAGCAGUACAUUAUGAAGCUGAAGGUCCUAGAGAACAGAGCAGUACAUUAUGGAGGUCCUAGAGAACAGAGCAGUACAUUAUGGAGGUCCUAGAGAACAGAGCAGUACAUUAUGGAGGUCCUAGAGAACAGAGCAGUACAUUAUGAAGGUCCUAGAGAACAGAGCAGUACAUUAUGGAGGUCCUAGAGAACAGAGCAGUACAUUAUGGAGGUCCUAGAGAACAGAGCAGUACAUUAUGAAGCUGAAGGUCCUAGGGAACAGAGCAGUACAUUAUGGAGGUCCUAGGGAACAGAGCAGUACAUUAUGGAGGUCCUAGAGAACAGAGCAGUACAUUAUGGAGGUCCUAGAGAACAGAGCAGUACAUUAUGGAGGUCCUAGAGAACAGAGCAGUACAUUAUGAAGGUCCUAGGGAACAGAGCAGUACAUUAUGAAGGUCCUAGAGAACAGAGCAGUACAUUAUGGAGGUCCUAGAGAACAGAGCAGUACAUUAUGGAGGUCCUAGAGAACAGAGCAGUACAUUAUGAAGGUCCUAGAGAACAGAGCAGUACAUUAUGGAGGUCCUAGAGAACAGAGCAGUACAUUAUGGAGGUCCUAGAGAACAGAGCAGUACAUUAUGGAGGUCCUAGAGAACAGAGCAGUACAUUAUGAAGGUCCUAGAGAACAGAGCAGUACAUUAUGGAGGUCCUAGAGAACAGAGCAGUACAUUAUGAAGGUCCUAGAGAACAGAGCAGUACAUUAUGGAGGUCCUAGAGAACAGAGCAGUACAUUAUGAAGGUCCUAGAGAACAGAGCAGUACAUUAUGGAGGUCCUAGAGAACAGAGCAGUACAUUAUGGAGGUCCUAGAGAACAGAGCAGUACAUUAUGGAGGUCCUAGGGAACAGAGCAGUACAUUAUGAAGGUGAAGGUCCUAGAGAACAGAGCAGUACAUUAUGGAGGUCCUAGAGAACAGAGCAGUACAUUAUGGAGGUCCUAGAGAACAGAGCAGUACAUUAUGGAGGUCCUAGAGAACAGAGCAGUACAUUAUGAAGGUCCUAGGGAACAGAGCAGUACAUUAUGAAGGUCCUAGGGAACAGAGCAGUACAUUAUGGAGGUCCUAGAGAACAGAGCAGUACAUUAUGGAGGUCCUAGAGAACAGAGCAGUACAUUAUGGAGGUCCUAGAGAACAGAGCAGUACAUUAUGGAGGUCCUAGAGAGCAGAGCAGUACAUUAUGGAGGUCCUAGAGAACAGAGCAGUACAUUAUGGAGGUCCUAGAGAACAGAGCAGUACAUUAUGAAGGUCCUAGAGAACAGAGCAGUACAUUAUGGAGGUCCUAGAGAACAGAGCAGUACAUUCGUCCAUGCAUUUCUUAUUGGUGGAGCCUCCAGUUGCUGCCUGAUAUGUGUAGUACACAUUAGGUUGUGAUGUCAUGUUUUAACAUAUGUUUUUAUCUUUAUAAUCGAGAGAAGAUGACAUUAGGAGAAACGUUAUUUAAACAUUCCUUUAAUAUGUUCCUACUUUGUGAUCAUAAUAGUUGUAUUAGUCUUCUCAUAGUUUUGUUGUUCUGAUGAGAUGAGGGUGAACAGCUGUGGGUAUAUUCACUAGGUACUGAAUGGAAUAAAACACAUUUAAAACAAGGCCUGGGAUUUAACCUGAACUUGCCUAAAAAUAAACGCUUGUUUUUGUUGCGAAACUUGUUCCUUUGCAAAAUGUUUCGCUAAAUUGUGCGCUACUGAAUAUACUGUGGCUGUGUCCUGCAGUGUGACCCCCCCCUCCUGGCCUGCAGAGGGCAUCGAUGAGUCAACUUAUUAUACACUAUUAGGUUUAAUCAUACGUCAUGUCCCUUCUCAUUAUGCAUCAACAGGAUUAUUACUGCGGUCUUUAUUCACAGUGUGUACUGAAUUAUGUUUCAUCAUUUACAUGUAUUUAUUUCAGCUAUUUGAUCUGUUUGAUUAUUUAUUCAAUUAGAAUUUUAAAUGUUUAAGUACACUACACUGACCAAAAGUAUGUGGACACCUGCUCGUCCAACAUCUCAUUCCAAAAUAAUGGGCAUCAAUAUGGAGUUGGUCCCCCCCAUUUGCUGCUAUAACAGCCUCCACUCUUCUGGGAAGGCUUUCCACUAGAUGUUGGAACAUUGCUGCUAUAACAGCCUCCACUCUUCUGGGAAGGCUUUCCACUAGAUGUUGGAACAUUGCUGCUAUAACAGCCUCCACUCUUCUGGGAAGGCUUUCCACUAGAUGUUGGAACAUUGCUGCUAUAACAGCCUCCUCUCUUCUGGGAAGGCUUUCCACUAGAUGUUGGAACAUUGCUGCUAUAACAGCCUCCACUCUUCUGGGAAGGCUUUCCACUAGAUGUUGGAACAUUGCUGCAGGGACUUGCUUCCAUUCAGCCACAAGAGCAUUAGUGAGGUCGGGCACUGAUGUUGGGCGAUUAGGCCUGGCUCGCAGUCGGCAUUCCAAUUCAUCCCAAAGGUGUUCGAUGGGGUUGAGGUCAGGGCUCUGUGCAGACCAGUCAAGUUCUUCCAUACUGAUCUCGGCAAAGCAUUUCUGUAUGGACCUCGCUUUGUGCACGGUGGCAUUUGUCAUACUGAAACAGGAAAUGGCCUUCCCCAAACUGUUAACAAAAAGUUUCAAGCACAGAAUCGUCUAGAAUGUCAUUGUAUGCUGUAAUGUUAACUUUUCCCUUCACUGGAACUGAGGGGCCUAGACCGAACCAUGAAAAACAGCCCCAGACUAUUGUUCCUCCUCCACCAAACUUUACAGCGGUGUUGGGGCAGGUAGCGUUCUCCUGGCAUCCGUCAAACCCAGAUUCGUCCGUUGGACUGCCAGAUGGUGAAGCGUGACUCAUCACUCCAGAGAACGCGCAAAAGUCGGCGAACUUUCACACCACUCCAGACGACGCUUGGCAUUGCACAUGGUGAUCUUAGGCUUGUGUGCGGCUGCUCGGCCAUGGAAACCCAUUUCAUGAAGCUCCAGACAAACAGUCCUUAACAUGACGUUGCUUCCAGAGGCAGUUUGGAACUCAGUAGUGAGUUUUGCAACCAAGGACAGAUGAUUCUUACGCGCUUCAGCACUCGGCGGUCCCGUUCUGUGAGCUUGUGUGGCCUACCACUUCGCGGCUGAGCCGUUGUUGCUCCUAGACGUUUCCAUUCAACAAUAACAGCACUUACAGUUGACUGGGGUAGCUUUAGCCGGGCAGAAAUGUGACGAACUGACUUGUUGGAAAGGUGGCAUCCAAUGACGGUGCUCUACUGCCAAUGUUUGUCUAAGGAGAUUGCAUGGCUGUGCUCAAUUUUUUAUUUUUUUAUACAGUUAUGAAUGGGUGUGGCUGAUAUAGCCGAAUCCACUAAUUUAAAUGGGUGUCCACAUACUUUUGUGUGUAUAUAUAGUGUGUGUGUGUAUAUCUUAUUUUGAUAUUGGUACCUUUUGUUGUAAAGACUGGAUGGAUUCAAAGUUGUUCUUUUUCAAAAUAAAUCUGUGCUCUGGACCACUCCGUAUGCUAA